rnacentral:rRNA from 1 species
GCAGUCGACGGCAGCACGGGAGCAAUCCUGGUGGCGAGUGGCGAACGGGUGAGUAAUAUAUCGGAACGUGCCCAGUCGUGGGGGAUAACGUAGCGAAAGCUACGCUAAUACCGCAUACGAUCUAUGGAUGAAAGCGGGGGAUCGCAAGACCUCGCGCGAUUGGAGCGGCCGAUAUCAGAUUAGGUAGUUGGUGGGGUAAAAGCUUACCAAGCCUGCGAUCUGUAGCUGGUCUGAGGGGACGACCAGCCACACUGGAACUGAGACACGGUCCAGACUCCUACGGGAGGCAGCAGUGGGGAAUUUUGGACAAUGGGCGCAAGCCUGAUCCAGCAAUGCCGCGUGCAGGAUGAAGGCCUUCGGGUUGUAAACUGCUUUUGUACGGAACGAAACGGUUCUCUCUAAUAAAGGGGGCUAAUGACGGUACCGUAAGAAUAAGCACCGGCUAACUACGUGCCAGCAGCCGCGGUAAUACGUAGGGUGCGAGCGUUAAUCGGAAUUACUAGGCGUAAAGCGUGCGCAGGCAGUUAUGUAAGACAGAUGUGAAAUCCCCGGGCUCAACCUGGGACCUGCAUUUGUGACUGCAUAGCUGGAGUACGGUAGAGGGGGGAUGGAAUUCCGCGUGUAGCAGUGAAAUGCGUAGAUAUGCGGAGGAACACCGAUGGCGAAGC